rnacentral:rRNA from 1 species
GAUGAACGCUGGCGGCGUGCCUAAUACAUGCAAGUCGAGCGAACAGACGAGGAGCUUGCUCCUCUGACGUUAGCGGCGGACGGGUGAGUAACACGUGGAUAACCUACCUAUAAGACUGGGAUAACUUCGGGAAACCGGAGCUAAUACCGGAUAAUAUAUUGAACCGCAUGGUUCAAUAGUGAAAGACGGUUUUGCUGUCACUUAUAGAUGGAUCCGCGCCGGAUUAGCUAGUUGGUAAGGUAACGGCUUACCAAGGCGACGAUGCGUAGGCGACCUGAGAGAGUGAUCGCCCGCACUGGAACUGAGACACGGUCCAGAGUCCUACGGGAGGCAGCAGUAGGGAACCGUCCGCAAUGGGCGAAAGCCUGACGGAGCAACGCCGCGUGAGUGAUGAAGGUCUUCGGAUCGUAAAACUCUGUUAUUAGGGAAGAACAAAUGUGUAAGUAACUAUGCACGUCUUGACGGUACCUAAUCAGAAAGCCACGGCUAACUACGUG